GACGAACGCUGGCGGCGUGCUUAAUACAUGCAAGUGGAGCGACGAACCAGGCUUCGGCCUGGGGCAGAGCCGCGAACGGGUGAGUAACACGUGGGUAACCUGCCUCGAUGACCGGGACAACCCGGGGAAACCGGGCUAAUACCGGAUGUGCUGUCCCCACAUCAGUGGAGACAGGAAAGGAAGCUUCGGCCUCCGCAUCGAGAUGGGCCCGCGGCCCAUUAGCUUGUUGGUGUGGUAACGGCUCACCAAGGCUGCGAUGGGUAGCUGGUCUGAGAGGACGAUCAGCCACACUGGGACUGAGACACGGCCCAGACUCCUACGGGAGGCAGCAGUAGGGAAUCUUGCGCAAUGCGCGAAAGCGUGACGCAGCAACGCCGCGU
rnacentral:rRNA from 1 species